CUAAGUUAAACUAACGAAGUCUGACUGCUAAGACAGCUAGGAUGUUGGCUUGGAAGCAGCCAUUCAUUUAAAGAGUGCGUAACAGCUCACUAGUCGAGGAGUCGGGCGUGGAUAAUAAUCGGGUAUUAAGUUGUCUACCGAAGCAGUGGGAUCAUUUAUAUGAUCGGUAGGGGAGCAUUCCAGUCAGCGUCGAAGGCGUACCGUGAGGUAUUCUGGAGCGUCUGGAAAAGCAAAUGUAGGUAUAAGUAACGAUAAAGGGGGCGGGAAACCCCCUCGCCGAAAGACUAAGGUUUCCUGAUCAACGCUAAUCGGAUCAGGGUCAGUCGGGUCCUAAGGCUCAGCCGAACGGCGAUGCCGAUGGCAGAAACGGUUAAUAUUCCGUUACUACCUUCAGGAGUGACGUGGAGACGCAGUAGUGACAGUGCCGCCAUCUGACGGAAUAGAUGGUUGAAGGGUGUAGGAGUCGAUCAUGGCAGGCAAAUCCACCAUGAGAUCCGAACCUGAUAGUAUGCCGCGUCCUUCGGGACAAGGCAAUAGUGCGCGUAAGCAUGCUGCCGAGAAAAUCCGCUAAACUUAAUCCUGCAGGUACCCGUACCGCAAACGGACACACGUAGUCGGGAUGAAUAUUCUAAGGCGCUUGAGUGAUUCACGGUUAAGGAACUAGGCAAACUGACCCUGUAACUUCGGGAUAAAGGGUCCCUACCCUUUUAUGGGAGGGCGCAGAGAAUCGGUCCAGGCAACUGUUUAACAAAAACACAGGGCUGUGCCAAAUCGAAAGAUCCAGUAUACAGCCUGACACCUGCCCGGUGCUGGAAGGUUAAGAGGAGAUGUCAUCGAUAAGAGAAGCGUUGAAUUGAAGCCCCAGUAAACGGCGGCCGUAACUAUAACGGUCCUAAGGUAGCGAAAUUCCUUGUCGGGUAAGUUCCGACCUGCACGAAUGGUGUAAUGAUCUGGACGCUGUCUCAACCGUGAGCUCAGUGAAAUUGUAGUAUCGGUGAAGAUGCCGAUUACCCGCGAUGGGACGAAAAGACCCCGUGAACCUUUACUAUAGCUUAUCAUUGAAUCUGGGCACGUGAUGUGUAGGAUAGGUCGGAGGCUUUGAAGCAGGUACGCCAGUAUUUGUGGAGCCGCUGUUGAAAUACGACCCUUUAUUUGUUUGGAUUCUAACCCGUGGAACGGGGACAUUGAUUGGUGGGUAGUUUGACUGGGGUGGUCGCCUCCAAAAGCGUAACGGAGGCUUCUAAAGGUGCCCUCCGGCCGAUUGGUAACCGGCCUUAGAGUGUAAUGGCAUAAGGGCGCUUGACUGGGAGACUGACAAGUCGAUCAGGUAGGAAACUAGAGCAUAGUGAUCCGGUGUUUCCGUAUGGAAGGGACAUCGCUCAAAGGAUAAAAGGUACUCCGGGGAUAACAGGCUGAUCCCUCCCAAGAGCUCAUAUCGACGGAGUGGUUUG
rnacentral:rRNA from 1 species